rnacentral:rRNA from 1 species
GUAAGGAAUAUUGGACAAUGGACGCAAGUCUGAUCCAGCCAUGCCGCGUGAAGGAUUAAGGUCCUCUGGAUUGUAAACUUCUUUUAUAAGGGACGAAAAAAGGCUUUUCUAAGUCGUCUGACGGUACCUUAUGAAUAAGCACCGGCUAACUCCGUGCCAGCAGCCGCGGUAAUACGGAGGGUGCAAGCGUUAUCCGGAUUCACUGGGUUUAAAGGGUGCGUAGGCGGGCAGGUAAGUCAGUUGUGAAAUCCUAGAGCUUAACUCUAGAACUGCCAUUGAUACUAUCUGUCUUGAAUAUUGUGGAGGUAAGCGGAAUAUGGCAUGUAGCGGUGAAAUGCUUAGAUAUGACAUAGAACACCUAUUGCGAAGGCAGCUUACUACGCAUAUAUUGACGCUGAGGCACGAAAGCGUGGGGAUCAAACAGGAUUAGAUACCCCUGUAGUCC